GGCGCAGCUUACACAUGCAAGUCGAGCGGUAACAGGGGGUGCUUGCACCCCGCUGACGAGCGGCGGACGGGUGAGUAAUGCAUAGGAAUCUGCCCAGUAGUGGGGGAUAGCCCGGGGAAACCCGGAUUAAUACCGCAUACGCCCUUUGGGGGAAAGCAGGGGAUCUUCGGACCUUGCGCUAUUGGAUGAGCCUAUGUCGGAUUAGCUAGUUGGUGGGGUAAAGGCCUACCAAGGCGACGAUCCGUAGCUGGUCUGAGAGGAUGAUCAGCCACAUCGGGACUGAGACACGGCCCGAACUCCUACGGGAGGCAGCAGUGGGGAAUAUUGGACAAUGGGGGCAACCCUGAUCCAGCCAUGCCGCGUGUGUGAAGAAGGCUUUCGGGUUGUAAAGCACUUUCAGUGAGGAGGAAAACCUUCUGGUUAAUACCCAUGAGGCUUGACGUUACUCACAGAAGAAGCACCGGCUAACUCCGUGCCAGCAGCCGCGGUAAUACGGAGGGUGCAAGCGUUAAUCGGAAUUACUGGGCGUAAAGCGCGCGUAGGUGGUUUGAUAAGCGAGAUGUGAAAGCCCCGGGCUUAACCUGGGAACGGCAUUUCGAACUGUCAGGCU
rnacentral:rRNA from 1 species